rnacentral:rRNA from 1 species
CGGCGUACGGGUGACGGAAACACGUGUUGCACCUGAGCUUUAUCUGGGGGAUAGCCUUUCGAAAGGAGAUUAAUACCCCAUAAUAUGUUGAAUGGCAUCAUUCGACAUUGAAAACUCCGGUGGAUAGAGAUGGGCACGCGCAAGAUUAAAUAGUUGGUGAGGUAACGGGCUCACCAAGUCUACGAUCUUUAGGGGGCCUGAGAAGGGUGAUCCCCCACACUGGUACUGAAACACGGACCAAACUCCUACGGGAAGGCACAUGAGGAAUAUUGGACAAUGGGUGAGAGCCUGAUCCAGCCAUCCCGCGUGAAAGGACGACUGCCCUAUGGGUUGUAAACUUCUUUUGUAUAGGGAUAAAACCUACCCUCGUGAAGGGUAGCUGAAGGUACUAUACGAAUAAAGCACCGGCUAACUCCGUGCCAGCAGCCGCGGUAAUACGGAGGGUGCAAGCGUUAUCCGGAUUUAUUGGGUUUAAAGGGGUCCGUAGCGGAUCUGUAAGUCAGUGGUGAAAUCUCACAGCUUAACUGUGAAACUGCCAUUGAUACUGCAGGUCUUGAAGUGUUGUUGAAGUAGCUGGGAUAAGUAGUGUAGCGGUGAAAU